AGGAACAGUUGAUCCUAUAACUGUAGUGAGCAAGUUGAGAAAGUACUGGUCAACAGAUAUAGUUUCUGUAGGGCCAGCAAAGGAGCCUGAGAAGAAAGAAGAGCCAAAGAAAGAGGAACCCAAGAAAGAAGAAGAGGCUAAGAAAGAAGAACCAAAGAAAGAAGAGGAGGCAAAGAAAGAGGAACCCAAGAAAGAGGAAGAAGCAAAAAAAGAAGAGCCAAAGAAAGAGGGAGAAGCAAAGAAAGAAGAGCCAAAGAAAGAGGAAGAAGGAAAGGCUGCACCAGCAC
rnacentral:lncRNA from 1 species